AUUGAACGCUGGCGGUAUGCUUAAGACAUGCAAGUCGAACGGAAUCUUCGGAUUCAGUGGCGGACGGGUGAGUAACACGUGGGAAUCUACUGAGUAGUGGGGGACAGCCCGGCGAAAGCCGGAUUAAUACCGCAUACGCCUACGGGGAAAGGGACGCAAGCCGCUAUUUAAUGAGCCCGCGUAAGAUUAGCUAGUUGGUGAGGUAAAGGCCCACCAAGGCAACGAUCUUUAGCUGGUCUGAGAGGAUGGCCAGCCACAUCGGGACUGAGACACGGCCCGGACUCCUACGGGAGGCAGCAGUCGGGGAAUAUUGGACAAUGGGCGCAAGCCUGAUCCAGCAAUACCGCGUGUGUGAAGAAGGCCUGCGGGUUGUAAAGCACUUUC
rnacentral:rRNA from 1 species